AGCAGUCGCCGCGGGAAUACGUAGGUCCCGAGCGUUGUCCGGAUUUAUUGGGCGUAAAGCGAGCGCAGGCGGUUAGAUAAGUCUGAAGUUAAAGGCUGUGGCUUAACCAUAGUACGCUUUGGAAACUGUUUAACUUGAGUGCAGAAGGGGAGAGUGGAAUUCCAUGUGUAGCGGUGAAAUGCGUAGAUAUAUGGAGGAACACCGGUGGCGAAAGCGGCUCUCUGGUCUGUAACUGACGCUGAGGCUCGAAAGCGUGGGGAGCAAACAGGAUUAGAUACCCCUGUAGUCCCUGUCUCUUAUACC
rnacentral:rRNA from 1 species